rnacentral:rRNA from 1 species
AUACGUAGGUGGCAAGCGUUGUCCGGAAUUACUGGGCGUAAAGCGCGCGCAGGUGGUUCCUUAAGUCUGAUGUGAAAGCCCCCGGCUCAACCGGGGAGGGUCAUUGGAAACUGGGGAACUUGAGUGCAGAAGAGGAGAGUGGAAUUCCAAGUGUAGCGGUGAAAUGCGUAGAGAUUUGGAGGAACACCAGUGGCGAAGGCGAGUGGCUGGUCGGUAACUGACUCUGGGGCGCGAAAGAGUGGGGAGCAAACAGGAUUAGAUACCCUGGUAGUCCACGCCGUAAACGAUGAGUGCUAAGUGUUGGGGGGUUUCCGCCCCUCAGUGCUGCAGCUAACGCAUUAAGCACUCCGCCUGGGGAGUACGGUCGCAAGACUGAAACUCAAAGGAAUUGACGGGG